rnacentral:siRNA from 1 species
GAGAGGGGUCAGAGCUACUUGC